rnacentral:rRNA from 1 species
CACGUAGGAGGCGAGCGUUGUCCGGAAUCAUUGGGCGUAAAGGGCGCGUAGGCGGCCUGCUAAGUCGGACGUGAAAUCCCUCGGCUCAACCGGGGAACUGCGUCCGAUACUGGCGAGGCUUGAAUCCGGGAGAGGGAUGUGGAAUUCCAGGUGUAGCGGUGAAAUGCGUAGAUAUCUGGAGGAACACCGGUGGCGAAGGCGGCAUCCUGGACCGGUAUUGACGCUGAGGCGCGAAAGCCAGGGGAGCAAACGGG